UACGUAGGGUGCAGGCGUUAAUCGGAAUUACUGGGCGUAAAGCGUGCGCAGGCGGUCUUUUAAGUCAGUUGUGAAAUCCCCGGGCUUAACCUGGGAACUGCGUUUGAAACUGGAAGGCUAGAGUGUGGCAGAGGGGGGUGGAAUUCCUGGUGUAGCAGUGAAAUGCGUAGAUAUCAGGAGGAACACCGAUGGCGAAGGCAGGUCUCUGGGCUGACACUGACGCUCAUGCACGAAAGCGUGGGGAGCAAACAGG
rnacentral:rRNA from 1 species